ACUUCCCCCAUCAGGUUCCAUUGCCAGAGGCCCAAUAGACUGCUCAAGCCCUGAAACUGACACUCACAUUCCGGGGGCCUGGUUCAGUCUUAUGUUGUUUCCCCAGACUCCCAGGCUGCUGCCUGUGCUAUUGGUUGCCUCCUAGAACUUGCAUAGAAGACCCUGCUGCUGAAGACACCACACCCUUCAGAUACAGUACUUGAAGGAAUCCAGCUGAAACCUGGAGUGCAUGUUUAUUUAUGAUUUUCUUCAACAAAUAGUAUUAAAUAAAAAGCAAGUUUGCA
rnacentral:lncRNA from 1 species